rnacentral:lncRNA from 1 species
AAGGAAACCCCACCGGCCAAUUAGAGCUAAGCAUCUUGGCCGGCUGACAAGUGACCAGAGUCACAGGAAAGAGUCUGUGCCUAGGCAGCGGGGCGAACCGAUAUGAAUCCACAGUAGGGCGGGGCUAUGAAGAGUGCAGGGGUGAGAGGAUUUCUCUAGGAGGGACUGUGAACAUCCGAGUGGGUCUGAAGGCAGUGAGUACGCUGGUGAUACUUUGGCCUCCAUACCAUGUGGGUGAAAUGGAAAUAAAAAACAAGAAGGCCAUUAUAAACACAACAAGAUCACAAGAACUGGAAGAAAAAAUAAAACACAGCAAAACAAAAGUUUACAUUUAUUAAUUAAAUCUUGUUUUUCAAUAAUAUAUUUUCGGUGUGAAAGAUUCUUUGGUCAUGCAAUCCUAAUCAGUUUGUCACUGGGUUAUUUUAAAUGCUCAUCUUUUCAUUGAUUAGCUGUAUUAAUAAAUGUAUACUACAUUUAAUUGUAGAUGUUAUUAGGCAGGUGGUGUAAAGGUAAGAGUCGUGAUUUUACUCAUCACAAUUAACAGUUAAGCCUCUUUAUUUUCACAUUUACCCUUGGCUUUCCUAUUAGAGGCCUUCAACAAUGAUCUUUGUCCGGAUAUGUGCUGCCAUCUGGUGGUGGAGCCGACAUACCACCACGGGACACUACACACGCCGAGGACGUUUGGUAUUGAUUUUCUUUAGAGACUAACUGUAGACAUGGAUGUAGCACAAAAUUCUGGGCCCUGUACAUAGGCGGUCUCUGAGGGCCCCUCCCCACUUUAUUCAAGAUUCAAACAUUUUUGAGGGCCCCCCUACACAUUAGGGCCCUAUAUACUUAGUACCCCUUUUCCCCCCAGUCCAACGCCCCUGACUGUAGACACUGGCAAUCAAAUAAUUAAAACUACAACUGUCCUAUUUACGAAAGCUACAUAAGAUUAGGACAACUGUACUUAUUGGACAUGACCCUGCAGUCCAAGGAGGUGCAACACUAUUCUAAAAGAAAAGACAAUCAUCUGGACUGGUUAUCCGUUUGAGCAUGACCACAGUAGUAAAUCCGUAAUAGGUUUUUUAUUAUCACAGUGGACUGGUUAGGUUUCUCUUCAGUCUUGAACUACUGAUGGGGGUCUUCUGAAAACGGCUCCCUUUAUAUGCAAACUAAACCUUUAACAAUACGAG